UUAUCUUAAAAGCCUAAUCUCAAACCAAGUUGGUUUAGACAGUUCUAGAUGCGAUUGGCUUAGACCCGACCUACAUCGGUCAACUGUUGCUUUUUUUUUAAUUGUUCAUUCAAAGUCAAUAUUACACUUUUAUUUAUGUAUUCUUAUCAUUAUAUCUGUAUUCCAUUCUACUCUCUUCGAAUUUCCAUAGGUACUAUUACAAAGUGCUGAUGGAGAAGUCGUGUACAUCAGUGUAAAACUCUACGAGCAAAUGUCUGAUGUGGCAUGUUGGCCGCAAGAACGUUUGCAUUGCAAAAUUGUAAUGAUCAUUAAUCUUGACACCGAAAUCCGCACGGCACAAUAAACAACGUCCGUUAGUUGUCCUAUUUUAUGUCGAUGUGUCAUUUUGGGGCUAGGUAUGUCUUGUUUAUUACAAUAACAGCUAUCAGACAAAUAAAAAAAGGACCGCGUUAAGUACUUAUACUCAAUAUGUUACAAUGUUUUAACGCAGAAAACAAAGCAGACAUUCCGGAAAAGUUGCUGAUUAUAAACUACUGACACGGCACAACCAUCUAAAACAAUAAACGGGAUACCUUUGGAUUGACACGACUACACGCAAAAAGUUAUGCCAGUGGAUUCGGCCAGCAGUCUAUUAAGAUCUGUAGAUUUUAGUUAUAGCUUAUAAGUAGUUGUAUAAGAAUUUUGUUUUACACAUGCCGACAUGACACAUGUAGAUACAUGCUGUAUAGUAUCGUCUACACUUAACGUCAACACUGUGUAUGACUUUGCAAAUUUAAAUACGAAAUUCCUGCAUAUAUUUUAUUUUGUAGUAGUACACCAGAGGUAGUGUCGUCCUUUUUAAAAUGAUUUUAGCUUGCUCGACGAUAAUUACCAACCACGUUUUCUAGUAGACAACGGAUGCCGUUUGUUCAGUAAUUAGCAGUUUGUUUGACUUCAUAAGUACUUUCAUUUUAUCAAUCCAUUUUUAAGUGCAUGCGAAAUUCUUCACAAAGUCGUUGGUUACUCCGUAGAACAUUAGACAUGUUAUGUAACUGGGUCAGAUCAUGUUCAUUCAUUAAGGCAAACGAGUUUCUAACAAAAUUUGAAUUUUAAAGGUCUAAUGGUUAUUUAAUUUAAAAUAAAGUAUACGGAGUUUACAGGAGUUAUCAAAUCAGCAAAGAAGGCAAACAUACCUGUUAACCGUUUGUAGGAUUAUAACGUAGAAUGUAAGCCAUUAAAAAUCGUACACAUUAAAAAAAAUCGUAAAAAUAAUAAGUUUAUCGAUAUAGUCUAAAUUUGUAGAACAUAAAUGAUUAAAAAUUUUAAAUUAUAAUUAAAACGGAGCAAAAAAAUCGUGAAUAUAAUAUUGUUUUUUGGUCACGUUUUUUUUUUGUUUUAUAAAAUGUAUUAUAUGCUGGUGACAAUCAAUAUUUUAUGAUACAAUUAAUAAUAUACUUAACAAAAAAGCAGGUCCAGAUUAUGACUAGUCAAGACCCCAGGGCAAAAAGAUAUUUUCCUCUCUCCUCUAAAAAUAUGUUAUGUUGUCAAAAUGUUGUCUAAUGAAUAAGUUAACCCCGACACAUUGUCCUCCAUUCAAUCUUGUUUUUAACAUUACUUUUUCUCUAGGGAACACGCAAAGAAUGACACAAACAGGUUUCUAGACUUUCAAUAGUUUUUGGGUUUUAAUUCUUUUACAACUUAUAUUAUUUGUUCGCCAAAUUAAAUACAACAUAAACAUUUACUAUGUCUAUUCAUUUCAAGUGAAUUUUUAAUAUUAGUUUUUUAGUCGUUUUUAUUUAGGUCUGCAAAUAAACUUAUUAAAAUUUAUCUUUAUGUAAAAACGUAGUAAUUAUUGUUAUUAUUCAUUUGAUGAAAAAAUUAUUGCUGUAAUACCAUUAUAUCAUUGGAAGUCCGGAAGAAUGUUAUCACCAAGUCCUUUAUGUGGUCCAGAUAGAAAAAAAAACAUUUAAUGUUACAGCCUCUUAAUAAUUGAUUUAGUAUCAUAACCAUAAGUUUUAUAAAAAUUUACUAAAAUAAAUCCUUUAGUUACAUUUUUAUUUUUUGCUAAAUACUCAAACCAUUAUUUAUAUUGUAAUAUAGAUAACAAUACAUUUAUCAUAAACAGUAAAUUGAAUAGUAUUAAAUGAUAUCGUACAAUAAUAACAAAUAUUAUGUCUUUAAAAAUAAACAAGAUUAUUUAAAAAAAACGGUCGUAGGCUCGACGAUACCCCCACAACCACUAACGGCAUGCUUUAUAAAAUAAUUUAGUGUGUGAUAAGAAUAUAAUUAACUUUUUAAUUUCCACAAAAAAAAACAUCAUAGUUCCAAUACGUACAGAGUGGACUUUUAAACCUUUUUAUUGUACUUAAAAACUAGUACUUUUACGAAAGUAUAUACUCGUAUAUAUAAUAAAUAUUAUAAUAUUUAUUUCCAUUCGAUCUCUUUAUAGGUAUAUAAAGAGGUAUAGGUUUUUUUUAUCGGGUAUGAGAUUAGUAAUUGACAUUAAUCGUAGGCUUUAAACGUCGCUACGCCUAUAGUGUCCAAUAGUCAAUUCGGUCGUAUCUACAAUACAGACUGGCAUAAAGGGGUCGACAACCGUUUCAAAUUUCUUAGUCUAAUGACUAAUCAAAACCCAGUCCUCUGCUAAUUACUAACAUUGUACCUUUUAUUGUUUUAAUACAAUUUGAAUGUUAAAGUUUUAAUACAUAUCUGUGAAAAAUGUGUACUAUUUUUAAAAUUUGCUUUUUAUUCUUAACCCUUUUAGUUAUAGUAGGUAUGG